GGCAAAUGAGGAUGGCGAUAUAGAUUUCUCGGAAUUUUAUAAGAAAUCACACAAGUCCAAGAAGACGGGAGACUGGAUUGACCCCAAAUGUGGUGAGCUACAUAAUGAUAUGGUGAAUCUACAAGUCGUAGCUACCGAUGCGGGGUUGCCAUUGACCCACGAAGAACUUUCAAGGCAAGUGCUCGGG